GUUGAAGUGGCUACUGCUAUUGGAUUCCAGCCUUGACUUGAGAGGCACAGUCUCAGGAGAUUCAAAUCAGCCAACUGAAGCCUUCCCAGUUUGGAAACUCAGGGGGAAGUAUAGAAGGAGACAUUGGGGAAGUUCUUGCAAUCCAUCAAUCCACAUUUAUUAAAUGCCUACUAUGUGCCAAGUCCUGAGCUAAGCACUGGUGAUACAAAAAAGCAAAAGACAGUCCUUGCUCUCAAGGUGCUUCCAAUCUAAGGGAGGAGACGAGAUGCAAACAAGCUAUAUACAGGAUAAAUAAAUAGUAUUGUGGAGGAAAGGGCUUGAAAGAGCAUUUUAGUUGGGACAUAAAGGAAACUGGGGAAGUCAUUUGGCGGAGAUGAGGAAGGGGAGCCCUCCAGGCAUGUGAGACAUCCAGAGAAAAUGCCAGGAAUCAGGAGAUGGAGUGUCUUGUUUGUGGAACAGCUAGGAGGCUAUACAGAGGUAAUAAAUGAUUCAAGACUGGAGUUCAGCAGAGAGACGGACUGGAUAGAUAGAUGUGUGAAUCAUUCACUUAGUGGAAAUUAAACCAAUGGGAACUGAUGAAGUCAUCAAAAGAGAGUACAGAUAAAGAAGAAAGAAUCUUGGAGCAUCCACCAUUGUGUGAUAUCAUGAUAAGGCAGCAAAGGAGAUGGAGAAAAAGCAAUCAAACAGACAGAUAUCCCAUGUAACAGAUAACAUUUUCAAGGGGAAAAAAGAGAAAGCUGAGAAAACCCCAGCAAAACUGACGAAUACACCAAAAUCUGAAAAUAUAUAUAAUGUGUCUCAUUUGUGGAUCUUCCAUGUCUACAAAAGAAUGAGUUGGGUGUGUCCACCCAUUUUUCUUCUUUGGGCCAUGCUUAUUUUUUUUUCAUAAUUUUGCAACAUUCACUUUUGAUUGUUCUGUGGUUAUUCUUUCCAAUUACAUUGUUUAAUCAUUGUAUAUAUUGGUUUUUUGUCUCUAUUUCACUCUGUAUCAAAUUGCGUAAAGUUUUCCAUGCUUUUCUGUAUUCAUCAUAGCUGUCAUUUAUUACAACAUAAUAAUCUUCCAUUACAUUGGACCACAUUUUAUUUAGUCAUUUCCCAAUCGACUUUCUAGUUAUGUGUUAUCACAAAAAGUGCUGCUAUAAAUAUGGCAUAUAUGUGGCAUCUGCUUUUUAUCAGUGACCUCCUUGGAAUAUAAGACUAAAAGUGGAAACUCUUGGUCAAAGGAUAUGACACUUUAAUCAGUUUUAUUUGCCUGAUUCUAAAUUACAAUCUACUAAUAUACAUAUCUUCCUACAAUCUGUCCAAUAUUGAAGACUUUCAUUUUUGUCAUCUUUUCUAAUUUGCUAGGUAUGGAGUGACGCUUCAUUUGAUUUAUAUUUCUCUUAGUGGUAGUAAUUUAAAGCAUUCUUUCAUAUGAUUGCUAGUUGUCUAUACUUUUUCUUUCAAACGAUUUGCUCAAUUCUUUUGGGACCACUUAUCUAUUGGGAAAUGAUUUUUGAUGGUCUGAUUCAUAAAUAUAUAUAUAUAAUAUAUAUAUACACAUAUAUAUCUUGGAAUGAGCAGAGGAAAAUAUUUUGUUCCAAUAGCAAUGAAGGCAGAUGAGCAGGCACUAUGGAAUGGCAAAAGUUUGGUCAUACAUUAAAGAAGUCAAGGUCAUACGCUAUGUCCCAAGCUAUCAUUAGUCAUCUUGGCUUUUAUUGGACUUAGAUGUCUUUAGAAGAGAGAGUAAAAUUACAAAGAACAUGCAUGCCCCA
rnacentral:lncRNA from 1 species